GAUGAACGCUGGCGGCGUGCCUAAUACAUGCAAGUCGAGCGAACAGACGAGGAGCUUGCUCCUCUGACGUUAGCGGGGGACGGGUGAGUAACACGUGGAUAACCUACCUAUAAGACUGGGAUAACUUCGGGAAACCGGAGCUAAUACCGGAUAAUAUAUUGAACCGCAUGGUUCAAUAGUGAAAGACGGUUUUGCUGUCACUUAUAGAUGGAUCCGCGCCGCAUUAGCUAGUUGGUAAGGUAACGGCUUACCAAGGCGACGAUGCGUAGCCGACCUGAGAGGGUGAUCGGCCACACUGGAACUGAGACACGGUCCAGACUCCUACGGGAGGCAGCAGUAGGGAAUCUUCCGCAAUGGGCGAAAGCCUGACGGAGCAACGCCGCGUGAGUGAUGAAGGUCUUCGGAUCGUAAAACUCUGUUAUUAGGGAAGAACAAAUGUGUAAGUAACUAUGCACGUCUUGACGGUACCUAAUCAGAAAGCCACGGCUAACUACGUG
rnacentral:rRNA from 1 species